UACACAUGUGGAAUUUCGUGUACGGAAUGUCCAUACGGCUGCAGUAAAACACAGGAAUCUUUACUAAUACUAGUAAGAACAUACUGUAUAUAGUAAUGAUGUUGGUCAUAAGACUGUGGCAGAACUACUUAUGAAAUCAGAAGGUGAAGAAAUGUUCUCCUAUAACUCAGAGACAUCUCCAGAUGAUUUUUCAGGGAGCUGAACCUCACACCUGGGAGCCAGCUGCCUGGAACAAGUACAGCAGGAACUUCAUCUUCUCCAAACCUCGCUCUUAAGGCCCCAUCAGUGCUCGGGUUUCAUCUGCC